CUCCAGCUCACUCUUCAUUCCUUGCAGCAAUUGGGUUUUCCAUCUUGUGGAUCCGCCAUGGUUUCAAGCAGCAUCUCAAGACUCCCUUUGUAGUCUGGUGAUUUGAAGAAGGGAGGUAGAGAGGAGCAGUUCUAACUUUUCUAUGUGAAGAUGUCUGCUUAGUCAUUCUAUAUUUAUAUACUCAACUUUGUUUUAUCAUGUUCUUCCUAAGAAACUGCUUCAAAUUAGAGACUAACUAAAGUCAUGACAACUAAAUGCAACAGGCGAUUUAGGAUUGGACCACGUACCAGAGAGAGGGGAGGA